GAUGAACGCUGGCGGCGUGCCUAAUACAUGCAAGUCGAGCGAACGGACGAGAAGCUUGCUUCUCUGAUGUUAGCGGCGGACGGGUGAGUAACACGUGGAUAACCUACCUAUAAGACUGGGAUAACUUCGGGAAACCGGAGCUAAUACCGGAUAAUAUUUUGAACCGCAUGGUUCAAAAGUGAAAGACGGUCUUGCUGUCACUUAUAGAUGGAUCCGCGCUGCAUUAGCUAGUUGGUAAGGUAACGGCUUACCAAGGCAACGAUGCAUAGCCGACCUGAGAGGGUGAUCGGCCACACUGGAACUGAGACACGGUCCAGACUCCUACGGGAGGCAGCAGUAGGGAAUCUUCCGCAAUGGGCGAAAGCCUGACGGAGCAACGCCGCGUGAGUGAUGAAGGUCUUCGGAUCGUAAAACUCUGUUAUUAGGGAAGAACAUAUGUGUAAGUAACUGUGCACAUCUUGACGGUACCUAAUCAGAAAGCCACGGCUAACUACGUGCCAGCAGCCGCGGUAAUACGUAGGUGGCAAGCGUUAUCCGGAAUUAUUGGGCGUAAAGCGCGCGUAGGCGGUUUUUUAAGUCUGAUGUGAAAGCCCACGGCUCAACCGUGGAGGGUCAUUGGAAACUGGAAAACUUGAGUGCAGAAGAGGAAAGUGGAAUUCCAUGUGUAGCGGUGAAAUGCGCGGAGAUAUGGAGGAACACCAGUGGCGAAGGCGACUUUCUGGUCUGUAACUGACGCUGAUGUGCGAAAGCGUGGGGAUCAAACAGGAUUAGAUACCCUGGUAGUCCACGCCGUAAACGAUGAGUGCUAAGUGUUAGGGGGUUUCCGCCCCUUAGUGCUGCAGCUAACGCAUUAAGCACUCCGCCUGGGGAGUACGACCGCAAGGUUGAAACUCAAAGGAAUUGACGGGGACCCGCACAAGCGGUGGAGCAUGUGGUUUAAUUCGAAGCAACGCGAAGAACCUUACCAAAUCUUGACAUCCUUUGACAACUCUAGAGAUAGAGCCUUCCCCUUCAGGGGACAAAGUGACAGGUGGUGCAUGGUUGUCGUCAGCUCGUGUCGUGAGAUGUUGGGUUAAGUCCCGCAACGAGCGCAACCCUUAAGCUUAGUUGCCAUCAUUAAGUUGGGCACUCUAAGUUGACUGCCGGUGACAAACCGGAGGAAGGUGGGGAUGACGUCAAAUCAUCAUGCCCCUUAUGAUUUGGGCUACACACGUGCUACAAUGGACAAUACAAAGGGCAGCGAAACCGCGAGGUCAAGCAAAUCCCAUAAAGUUGUUCUCAGUUCGGAUUGUAGUCUGCAACUCGACUACAUGAAGCUGGAAUCGCUAGUAAUCGUAGAUCAGCAUGCUACGGUGAAUACGUUCCCGGGUCU
rnacentral:rRNA from 1 species